GACGAACGCUGGCGGCGUGCUUAACACAUGCAAGUCGAACCGUGGCGAACGGGUGAGUAACACGUGAGUAACCUGCCCUCCACUUUGGGAUAACUCCGAGACAUCGGGGCUAAUCCUGUAUAGUGGGGGAUGGGCUCGCGGCCUAUCAGUUUGUUGGGGGGGUAGUGGUCACCAAGGCGUGACGGGUAGCCGGCCUGAGAUGGCGACCGGCCACACUGGGACUGAGAGACGGACCAGACUCGUACGGGGGGCAGCAGUGGGGAAUAUUGCACAGUGGGCGAAAGCCUGAUGAAGCGACGCCGCGUGGGGGAUGACGGCCUUCGGGUGGUAAACCUCUUUCAGCAAGGAAGCGGUACUUGCAGAAGAAGCGCCGGCUAACUACGUGCCAGCCGCCGCGGUAAUUC
rnacentral:rRNA from 1 species